rnacentral:tRNA from 4 species
CGCGGGGUGGAGCAGAGGCAGCUCGCGUGGCUCAUAACCACGAGGCCGUGGGUUCGAAUCCCACCCCCGCUACCA